rnacentral:rRNA from 1 species
GAUGAACGCUGGCGGCGUGCCUAACACAUGCAAGUCGAACGGGGUUCUAUAUCGGAAGUUUUCGGAUGGAAGAGAUAGGACCCAGUGGCGGACGGGUGAGUAACACGUGGGUAACCUGCCUCAUAGAGGGGGAUAACAGAGAGAAAUCACUGCUAAUACCGCAUAAGCACACGGGAUCGCAUGAUCCAGGGUGAAAAGAUUUAUCGCUAUGAGAUGGACUCGCGUCUGAUUAGCUGGUUGGCGGGGUAAAGGCCCACCAAGGCGACGAUCAGUAGCCGAUCUGAGAGGAUGGCCGGCCACAUUGGGACUGAGACACGGCCCAGACUCCUACGGGAGGCAGCAGUGGGGGAUAUUGCACAAUGGAGGGAACUCUGAUGCAGCAACGCCGCGUGAGUGAAGAAGUAUUUCGGUAUGUAAAGCUCUAUCAGCAGGGAAGAUGAUGACAGUACCUGAAUAAGGAGCCCCGGCUAACUACGUGCCAGCAGCCGCGGUAAUACGUAGGGGGCAAGCGUUAUCCGGAUUUACUGGGUGUAAAGGGAGCGUAGACGGCGAAGCAAGUCUGAAGUGAAAAUCCGGGGCUCAACUCCGGAGUGCUUUGGAAACUGUUUUGAUAGAGUGUCGGAGAGGUAAGUGGAAUUCCUGGUGUAGCGGUGAAAUGCGUAGAUAUCAGGAAGAACACCGGAGGCGAAGGCGGCUUACUGGACGAUAACUGACGUUGAGGCUCGAAAGCGUGGGAAGCAAACAGG